rnacentral:rRNA from 1 species
UGGUGGGGUAACGGCCUACCAAGGCAACGACGGGUAGCUGGUCUGAGAGGAUGUCCAGCCACACUGGGACUGAGACACGGCACCAACUCCUACGGGAGGCAGCAGUGGGGAAUCUUGCGCAAUGGGCGAAAGCCUGACGCAGCGACGCCGCGUGCGGGAUGAAGGCCUUCGGGUUGUAAACCGCUUUCAGCAGGGACGAUCGUGACGGUACCUGUAGAAGAAGCCCCGGCCAACUACGUGCCAGCAGCCGCGGUAAUACGUAGGGGGCAAGCGUUGUCCGGAUUUAUUGGGCGUAAAGAGCUCGUAGGCGGUUUGGUGAGUCAGGUGUGAAAUCUCCACGCUCAACGUGGAGGGGCCACCUGAUACUGCCAUGACUGGAGUCCGGUAGAGGAGUGUGGAAUUCCCGGUGUAGCGGUGAAAUGCGCAGAUAUCGGGAGGAACACCCGUAGCGAAGGCGGCACUCUGGGCCGGUACUGACGCUGAGGAGCGAAAGCGUGGGGAGCAAACAGGAUUAGAUACCCUGGUAGUCCACGCCGUAAACGUUGGGCACUAGGUGUGGGGCUCUAU